AUGCCCAGUUGUUUUUUCCCUGUGCUCCACCCCAUGCAUUCUUCUGAAGGGCAGGCUCAGUGGCUCUGCCCUCCAGGAGGCCUCCGGGCUCUCAGGCCACUGUUCCUAGAAGUGGAGGUGGGCGUGGAAGCUGCAGGGGAGAUGGGGUCCAUGGACACCUCCGACUCCACUUGGGUGCCGAGCUUGGCUCGCACCUCAGGCUGGCGAGUGGCGGGGCGACCCCUGGGAGGUCACGGAGUCCGGCGUGGGUGGCUCGCUCCUAGGUGCAGGCCCGGAGAUGCCAGCGGUGCCCCGCCUCGGCUCCGCCCCCGCCCGCCCGGCCCGGCCCCGCGCGGGCGGGGUGGGCGGGGCCCGCGGGGAGGCGCGCCGACAGCCCAGCCAGGUGCAGCGAGCCGGCGGUCCAGCGGCACGCGCGGCCGCGAGGACUCCAGGUCUCCUCCUGCGAGUGCUGCGUCCCUGCGCCCUUUCUGCCGGAUGCCCGGGACCCUCGGAGCCCAGGUGUUCCACGAGCAGGGCAUCCUCUUCGGCUACCGACAUCCACAGAGUUCCGCCACUGCCUGCCUCCUCAGCCUUUUUCAAAUGACCAAUGAGACCCUCAACAUCUGGACGCACUUGCUGCCCUUCUGGUUCUUCUCGUGGAGGUUUGUGAGCACCCUGCAAGUGACGGACAUCCUGCAUGACAGCUACUCCUGGCCUCUGCUCGUGUACAUGGGCGCCAGCUGCUUGUUCCCCCUGGCGUCCAGCUGCGCACACACCUUCAGCUCCAUGUCCAGGAACGCCCGCCACAUCUGCUACUUCCUGGACUACGGCGCCGUCAACCUCUUCAGCCUGGGCUGUGCCAUCGCCUACUCUGCCUAUGUUUUCCCGGACACGCUGGUGAGCACCACCUUCCAUGACUACUACCUGACCCUGGCUGUGCUGAACACCAUCAUUAGCAUCUGGCUCUCCUGCUACUCCAGGUUUUUUGAGAUACAGAAGCCCGGGCUCUGUAAGAUGCUUCGCGUCCUGGCCUUUGCUUUUCCCUACAUCUGGGACUCCCUUCCCAUCUUAUUCAGGGUAUUCCUGUUCGCCGGGGAAAGUGCGGAGAACGAAGCCACCUUGUACCACCAGAAGCACGUGGCCGUGACCCUCCUGGCCUCUUUCUUCUACUCUGCGCAUCUGCCAGAGCGCCUGGCCCCUGGACGCUUCGACUACAUCGGUCACAGCCACCAGCUGUUUCACGUGUGUGUGAUCCUGGCCACACACAUGCAGAUGGAAGCCAUCCUUCUGGACAAGACUCUGAGGAAAGAAUGGCUGCUGACCCACGGCAGGCCCCUGUUGUUCGCCCAGAUAGCCGGAGCCAUGCUUCUGUGCCUCAUCUUCAGCCUCAGCAACAUAGUUUAUUUCUCAGCUGCUCUGUAUCGGAUUCCUGAGCCGGAAUUACAUAAAAAGGAAACCUAA
rnacentral:lncRNA from 1 species